rnacentral:rRNA from 1 species
AGAGUUUGAUCCUGGCUCAGAUUGAACGCUGGCGGCAUGCUUUACACAUGCAAGUCGAACGGUAACAGGCCGCAAGGUGCUGACGAGUGGCGAACGGGUGAGUAAUGCAUCGGAACGUGCCCAGUCGUGGGGGAUAACGCAGCGAAAGCUGCGCUAAUACCGCAUACGAUCUAUGGAUGAAAGCGGGGGACCGAAAGGCCUCGCGCGAUUGGAGCGGCCGAUGUCAGAUUAGGUAGUUGGUGGGGUAAAGGCUCACCAAGCCGACGAUCUGUAGCUGGUCUGAGAGGACGACCAGCCACACUGGAACUGAGACACGGUCCAGACUCCUACGGGAGGCAGCAGUGGGGAAUUUUGGACAAUGGGCGCAAGCCUGAUCCAGCAAUGCCGCGUGCAGGAAGAAGGCCUUCGGGUU